UGGGGAAUAUUGGACAAUGAGCGAAAGCCUGAUCCAGCCAUGCCGCGUGUGUGAAGAAGGUCUUCGGAUUGUAAAGCACUUUAAGUUGGGAGGAAGGGCAGUAAGCGAAUACCUUGCUGUUUUGACGUUACCGACAGAAUAAGCACCGGCUAACUCUGUGCCAGCAGCCGCGGUAAUACAGAGGGUGCAAGCGUUAAUCGGAAUUACUGGGCGUAAAGCGCGCGUAGGUGGUUCGUUAAGUUGAAUGUGAAAGCCCCGGGCUCAACCUGGGAACUGCAUCCAAAACUGGCGAGCUAGAGUAGGGCAGAGGGUGGUGGAAUUUCCUGUGUAGCGGUGAAAUGCGUAGAUAUAGGAAGGAACACCAGUGGCGAAGGCGACCACCUGGGCUCAUACUGACACUGAGGUGCGAAAGCGUGGGGAGCAAACAGG
rnacentral:rRNA from 1 species